rnacentral:lncRNA from 15 species
AUGCGACGCAGUAGAUGCCAUCUAGCUCAGAAUAUGGACGGAAAAAACCCUAGAAACUUUUUUCAGCCUACUAGCCUCCAGCUAAAUGGGAGACCAGCUAGUUAUCCUGCGGACUUUGGUACAACGGGAUUCUCCUCUUGCUUCACCCGACGGAGAGUCAUUUCUCGCUCCAGGCAAAUAUGGAGGUCAUGCAGCUCAAGGAAAGACAUCUUCAUUAAGACUUGCCCAGAAAAGUUGGAUCUCUCUCUCUCUCGGACUGUUUUUGGCAGAGGCAGCCCAGACAACCAGAAUAGCCCACUAAUGCUACAGAUGUCCUAUUGAUUGACUCGCUGUCAGAAUCAAUAAAAGUUGGGUUUUCAAAAUGCCAGGGCUAUCGCUGAGACGUUAAGGUUGCUCCUGGAUAAACAGGGAGAUUUAUGGGCCAAACAGCAGAGCCGAUUGCUGCAUAGUAAAUCACAACCCACAGGACACUAUAAAGGAGUGCUUGAGGACUACUCAUUAAAUUUUGAAGGUCUCUGAUUUCAUACAAUUUUUAAAAUUAAUACAUUUUUUAUAACAGGUCCAGUUGAUUAAGUAACAUAUUUCACACCCGUUUUAUCCACAACAGGCACUCAGACAUGCCUAACUGACCUCACUUUAAAAAAGCUCCCAUCCACAGAAACAAUCGAUAGUUCUACUUCUUGUUCACAAAGUGACAACCACCAUUACUGUGCAAAAACUGCUGAUAAAGCAACAGCCUGGCCCACAAAGGGUUAACCCCACACACUCAUUGUUCAGACUCAGUGGGGCAUGUGGCCUCAUUCAGCUACCUGAAAUGCCCCCCACCACACCCCAGAACUACUCACAGCCAAGGUCCCCAUGUCACUGUAUUCAUUAAUUAUCAACUCCAUUUUUCACUGCAAAACUGUAAACAAGAUGGGGUAAUGGGGAAAUGGGGAGCUAGAGACCGAUUAGCGAGGUAAAGGAGGCUGAGGGAAUGAGACAGUGAGAAAGGAGGAAUAAGAAGAGGAAGCAUGAGGCAUAAGAAAGGGGAAGAAGGUGAGUGAAACUGCUGUUGGGCAGAAGGGAGGACAGAACAUGGGGGACGAGGAAGGGAAAGUGACACAUUUUUUGCAGGGUUUGUAUUUUUUUUUCCCCGAGUAAGGGAUGUUUCAGAGGCAUCCCAGUGCCUGUUCCCCUCCUAAUUAUUCCAAUUAUCAUGGCACACUAUGAAAACGUGAUUAAUAACACAGAGGAUAUUGUUGUGGCAAUUAGCCAUAUGGUGGUGGGACUCUGCUCUGUCACGAUUUUGCCAUUAGCAUCUACUUAUGUUUGUCAGAGGCGUGCAGCCAUGACAAGCUCAAGUUCUGCUCACCUUGCACUCCCCACUGAGAGGCACACGCCGGGGGUGGAGGGAGCUGGGUAUUCCUCCUGGCUUCUCGCCUGAGUGAAUUUUUUAUGUGGCAUCCGGUCGGACUGGGGACAAAAUGUCAACCGGCGUCUGGGAUGGCCCAUCAAACUCUGGUGCUCCUGGGAAGGGGAAAGGGAAGGGAGGGGAGGAGGGAGGAGGGAGGAGGCACGAGAUGAGAAUUAUUUGUGCUUGUGUGUUAUUCCAACACAAACAAAAUGUAGUGAAGCACAUGAGCAAGCUCUGUCUGUAUAUUUCUUUCAAACUAGAAAUAUAUGUGCGCGCACACACGCACAUGAACGGUGACAUGAAAACGCACACUAGGUCACAACCAGUCAAAUGAGUCGAGUUGACUCCAAGUCCGUCUCCGCGGUAAGCAGUUUUUACAACGAGAGCCCCCUUGUUAAGACCUGUUGGUAUUCUCCAGAUGGCAAUAAAAAUGCAUGAGGUCUGCUGGAACCGUGGAGAAGAGCUCAGCCACUUAAAUAGGAAAAACAAAACCUCAGAGAGAAAGAGAAAAAAAAAAAAAAGCAGGUAGAGUGCGUCGCCAAGCUGAUACUCCAAGGACUGAGGAGAGAGCUUCAGAUGAGUGCAGCGCCUCUACG